CGGUCGUCAUGCAGGCUAUCCUGUUGAAAAUGUGCCAGAACCACCUUGCUGAAAAGUUACAGAUAAAUGCAGAAAAUGUCAAUUGAGAAUGGAGCAGGCGCCGUGGGGGUGAUGACUGCUGCUCCAGCUGAGGAGGAAGUCCCUAAAGUAUAAAUACCUAGUGCAUUAUAUACUCUAUAGUAGGCUAACAAUGUAUUGAUACUAACACAGAUUAUGACUUGAGGGAAAGUCAAGUGUUCCCUUUUCAAAAUCACUCAAGUAAAUGUUUUUUUAUUAAGUAUUAACUAUUAUUUAGUUACUAGGUAUUAAGUAAACACCCUUACAUGAAUUGACUGCUUUAUGCUAUACACCAAGUAUAACAGAAGUAUCAGUGAUUGUUCUGAAUCGAGAAUAAACAAUAAAACAACAA